UACAAAGGUGGCAAGCGUUGUUCGGAAUUACUGGGCGUAAAGGGCGCGUAGGCGGUUCGUUAAGUCCUGUGUGAAAUCCCCCGGCUCAACUGGGGAACUGCACAGGAAACUAGCGGGCUUGAGUUCGGGAGAGGGAAGCGGAAUUCCGGGUGUAGCGGUGAAAUGCGUAGAUAUCCGGAGGAACACCGGUGGCGAAGGCGGCUUCCUGGCCUGUUCUUGACGCUGAGGCGCGAAAGCUAGGGGAGCAAACGGG
rnacentral:rRNA from 1 species